UAGAUGUUAAAAGCAAGAGACAUGGGAGAGCAUCAUUCCUUUGAGAUUUUAUAACUCAAACCAACUUUGGAGUUGUCUGAUUUGGAGAGUCAUUAUUCUUGGUCUUCGCUCUUAGAGGCCACUGAUGAAGAACAGGCGGUGACUGGGAUGAAUGCUGGUCAGAGAGGAGAAUCUUCUUUCCCCUAAACUGAUGCAGCGGUGGUUUUAAAGGAGGACGCUGCCCUGGAUGAUGUAGAAGAUGUCACAUGCUGUGCUGAUGGGGUUUCUUCAUGAUUACAUCAGUUAUGCUAAAGAGAUCAUGAAAAUUGACUGUGAUGCAUGAUCUGUAUUCAUGGACUUUGAAACAAACUGUAAGUGUAUAAUUUGUUAAAAAAAAAAAGUUAAAUGCUUUUUCUGCGUUGUUUAGUAGAAGAGUUUACACUCUGUCAUUCAUACACCUGCUCACAUUCUUUCACACACACACACACACACACACAUGCGUCUGUUAAAUGUUAUAAUAUCAAAGUUAAUGUUGUGAUUUAUUUGUGUACUGUCAUGCCAGAAUAGUUGGAAAAAAACCUAACUAAUUGUAAAUUUAUUGUAUGUGUUUUCGUAUAUUUUUAUAUCAGAAUGAACUCUGUAGCUGUUGAUGCCAUCCUUUUCUGCAUUUCUUCUAACAUGUUACUUUUUGACUUUUCUCUUGUUUUUAAUAAAUAUUUUCCUUUUGGUAAUUAUUAUUUGUGUGUAAAAGUGAUAUUUAAAAUGAACAACAUUUGUAGGUUUAAUGCCUAGCUCAAUUUGGGUUAUUUUUAACGUAGAAAUGCAUUGUUUCCCCACAUGGCUGCACUCUGCGAGUUUAUUUUCUGCCAGCAGGAGGCGCUAAGAGCGGGAGAGGUAGGUUUCUCCGGUAACGGCUGCAGAGCGGUGCUGAGCUCACAAACGCUGCCUUAUCAAGCACAUGCGAAAUGAUAUCGAACAUUUUCUAAAUACAGUAGUUUUCCUUCUGAAAUACAGUGAUAAAAAAACACCCGCUCUGUUUUUUGAAACCCUGCAAUAUAGUCAUUUUAAACCAUAAAAAAGGCAACCCAGCAGGCUGGGUUAAAUAUGAUAACCCAACUGGUUGGGUUAAAACAACCCAGCGCUGGGUUCGUCCCUUUUUGACCCAGCGCUGGGUUGUCAAAAUAACCCAAAUUGGGUUGUUUUCAACCCAGCAGUUUUUAGAGU